GUGCACUGCCAUGGUAAAUGUGAUCAACCCCUCCACUAAUGAAAGAAUGGUAGUGCGAGCUCUUCUUGACAGUGGGAGCCAAUGUUCAUUUUUGUCAGCAUCAGUGAAAACAAAGCUCAGGUUGGCUUCUCAGAGCACUACAACCAAGAUUAUGGGUAUAGGCGGCCAAAAGCUAAAUGUUAAUACACAACGUUGCUCAGUGCGCAUUCAGUCAAAAUGCAGUGACUUUUCUACGACUACUACCUGUCUUGUCCUGCCUAAACUCACUGGCAAUAUACCUAAAGUUACAUUUGAUAUAAACCAUUUCAAUAUUUCUAAUUUCCAGUUGGCGGAUCCAACGUUCAAUAUACCUUCUGAACCAGACAUGAUCCUGGGUGCAGAACUAUUUUGGAGUAUCAUAGGUACCGAGCAUCAUUCCCUUGACCUCUUAGUUCACUACCAGGCCCAUCAUUUGCCGAAGUCAAGGAGAGCCGCUUGGACCGAUAUCAACGUCUAGAGAGAGCCAGGCAACACUUUUGGAGAAGAUGGUCCAGUGAAUAUGUGGCCGAGCUACAGCAGCGAGUGAAGUGGCGCACCAAAUGCACUAAUCUGAAGGUGGAUGAUCUUGUAUUAAUAAAGGAGCCUAAUGCUCCACCGCUCUGCUGGCAGCUGGGGAGAGUGGCGAGGCUAUACCCUGGAUCAGAUGGCAUACCACGUGUGGCCGACGUCGCUACCGCCCAGGGGACCAUAAGACGUGCUCUCAAUCGCCUAAGCCUGCUGCCAAGUGACGAUUCAGCUUGAAAACUUCAUUUCAAGGGCCGGAGGAUGUUCGCGCUCGCGCUCUGUGUUGGUGUCAAUCAAAAUUCUCCGUCUAACUGACAUUACAUGUAUUAUGGGUCUGUGAAGUAUUAAUCUGUGCCCGCGCGUUUCGGUCUUGUCUCUUCGGUGUACGCGUCGUUUUUCCAUUGUCAAAAUUUUUCACCAACAUGUCUGUUUUUUAAUUAACCAAAGAUGUAAAGAAACUAGUACAACUACUGUAACAA